rnacentral:lncRNA from 1 species
UCGCCGAUAUUGAUGAUUUGCCGAAAGAAAUUGACGAUGACAAUCAAAGAAACAUAUCUUUCUACUAUUUUUGAGAUAAAAUGCUUUGUUGUUUCCCAUACAAUAUGGACAUGCUAAUUUUCCAUGAGUACUCCAACCGGACAACAUUGCAUAAGCUGGGAAGUCUGAAAUAGUCCACAAAAGUGCCGCUUUCAUUAAGAAAUUUUGUUUUUUAAAUGCAUCGUAUGUCU